rnacentral:misc_RNA from 1 species
GGAAGUAAAAGUCGUAACAAAGGUCUCCGUAGGUGAACCUGCGGAGGGAUCACUACAGGCUUGCAAAAGCUCUGAAACCACUGUUUAUCUACCUGAAUCUGCUUCGGCGGGCGGCCCCAGGGCGGGGCCGUAGCCGCAAGGCGCCCGCCGAAGACCCCUAAACUCUGUCGUCUUGAGAAUCUCUGAGUAUCAUAUUAAACAGAAAACAACUUUCAACAACGGAUCUCUUGGCUCUG